ACUCCCCGCUCCCGCUUUUGGAGGCGUGAGCAAGCUGGGACCCAGCGCUGGGCGCCGGUUAACACCCACUCCCCGUCGCGGGUACCAUGGAGGCGGCGGUGUGUAGCGAAAUCGAACGGGAGGAUGGCGACAGCAGCUGCGGGGAUGUGUGUUUCAUGGACAAAGGCCUGCACAGGUAGCUGCCGCCACCCGGUUGGACCUCGGGUUGGCUGGCUUCGGAGAGCCGGGCUUGUGCAGGAAGCGGGUUCCUCCCCAUCCUCCCAGCACAGUCUGGGGCUCCUCUCUGUCCCCCAGCAUAGCCCGGGGUUUCUCUGUGUUCCCCCUGCACGGCCCGGGGCUUCUCUUACUCCUCCCAGCAUUGCCCUGGCUUCCUCCCUGCCAAGCCCUGAAUCCCUCCUGGCUCACUCAGCUGAGCUCAGGGUUCUUCCGCAUCCUCUCCACAGAUCCCGGGGUUCCUUUCUCUCCACCACCCAGCGCAACCUGCGGUUCUUUCUUACGGACCUGCUGAGCCCAAGCUUCCUCUUUCCCCUCUCCUCGCCCCCACUUUCGCACCCCCUAGCUGUUGCUCUUCCUGGUCUCCUUCCAGGAGCCUGAGAAGUGGGGCAAGCAGCAAGGCAAGCCUUCUCUACUCCCUGCUUACAUCUCUUGCCUCAGUUCUCACCCGUUUUUAAGUUCUUUUGCAUAAGACACAAUCAGAGACAUAUCCAUACAGUUGUUGAAAGUACCAAAUAUAACUCUUACUGACCCUGUUUUAUGUUACUGAGACUGCUCAGUGGUUUUUCAGGCCCCUGGAUUUUCCAUACUCUGUGAGCCUUACCAGUUCAACCUAGACCCUCUCUUGUUUUUCACUGGCCAGUUAGCUAUUUCUGAGAUCCAGGCAUUUCUGUUACAAUAUUCUCUGUCUUUGUUGAGGUGCCUGCUCUACUCCAUCAGAACCGUGGUAUUUAUAAUAUAAUGAAAACAAUUUAGUCUCAGGCCUGAUCUAAGGGUUGCCAACGAAGAGGUUUUUUCAAAAGAAUGCUUACAUUUAUAUUUAAUAAUGGUUAUCGCUUUGAGGAUGAUGUCUAUGUGAAUGUUAUAUGUGUUAUUACUAAUCACCACAGCAAUUAUGCAGGGUCGUUUUUGUUUUGUUUUGUUUUGUUUUUCUUCUUCUAGUAAGCAAUGACUCUGGGAAUUUAUAUUUUAGAUACAUUAUAUAACUUGACAGUGUAACUAGUGAGCAAGUAAAUUCAACAGUAUUGAUUUCUGAUAGGUCAGAAAACAGAUUGCUAUUAAGAGCAUAUAAUAGCACAAAAUUUGUCCCUAAAUAAUUCUGUAAUUGCCAGAUAAUCAGCAAAUACUUCAGACACCUUUAGAAAUUGGUGUUUUGAGGUUUGCAACUGUUUCCUUGCUGCCAAUAAGUAGGUUUCCUGCAACUUUAUACUAGCUAGCAUAAAAAUCUACCACAGAUGCCCUUGACAUUGUGUGUGCUAUUCUGAACUACUUUUAGCAUCUCUGAGCAGUGCACUGUAGUUCCAUGGAAAUACCAUUCUACUCGGCAUGCUCAAUUUAUAAGUGGUAGUAGUGGGAGUAAAGAGAUGAUUUCAGUUUAGAGAAAAUGCAUUCCAGCUUGCAGUUAGAAAGGACCUCAGCUUUUCCACCAGCAAGAAACAUAAUUAAGGUUUUUGGUGUUUUGUUUUGUGUUUUGUGUUUUUUGGAAACUACAUUCUGGACUAACUAGCUAUCAUUGAGAGUAAAGAAAGUUAUAAACUCAUGCAUAGGAUCUGGAUUCAUGCCAGGUCACUCUUGGUCUCUUUAAUUGUCAUAACCAUACACCAACUGCUUAAGAGUUUGAAAAUUAAGACAAUAGCUUUAAAGCUUGAACUUGCUCAUUUUCAGCUACCAGAAGAGGGUGGGUUUUCUCUAAGAAUAUUCCCUUGAUAAGCCUAGAAGGCUGCACAUCCGAGGAUGUUUGGGCAGCACACGUUGGUCUUGAUUAUGAAAACAAUCCAACCAAAAAGGUCACAAGUUGGGUAGGAAAGAAAGGGGGCCUAGGAUAGAUUGUUUUUUUUCUAAAGUGAGUAGAGCAAAUAUUCAUUAUAGUCAUUGUACUUAAUUGCAACUGUUUGGUUAUGCCUUUUAAAUAUGUUUUUACAACAUUUUCUUUUAUAGUAUAUCAGAGUUAUCUUUAGAUUCAUCCAUUCAUGCCAUCAAUUUGCAUUGUAAUAACAUCUCCAAGAUCUCAUCCAUUGACCACAUUUGGAACCUACGACAUUUAGAUCUGUCAUCUAAUCAAAUAAGUCAAAUUGAAGGCCUGAACACACUGACAAAGCUAUGCACUUUAAAUUUGUCCUGCAAUUUGAUCACAAGAGUGGAAGGUUUGUAAACAAUUACAUGUGUUAUUUUAUUAGAAAAAAAAAUGAAAUAUAAAAUUAUGUAUUUUCUUUCAAUGAGUUGAAUUAAAAGAAUCAUAAACUUUUGAAAAUUGACGGUAAAACUACCUAUGUAAUUUUUUCCCAUAAAACUGUCUGUUUAAAUAGUUAAAUAACUCCAAAAAUGGCCGUUGAUUUCACUAUCAAUGUGAAACAAGGCUGUUUCUUUCUUUAAACCUUAUAAAGGCUAUGUUACUUUCCCCCCUCCUUUUUAGGACUUGAAGCACUGGUUAAUCUGACUAAACUGAACUUGUCUUAUAAUCACAUAAAUGAUCUUAGUGGUAAGUCGACUUGUUUAUAUUUCUAUAAUGCUGAAAGUUUGCAGGCUAUGAGGACUUAGCCCAUUGUUGGAAAACUGCAAAGAAUAAUGAUGUUUUGACCAAGUGUUUUAUCUAAGUGAUGUACUUCUAUUAAAACUUUUGUUGCUGCCAAAAUAUUACCUGAGUAAAACACAGAAAUGAAGACGAGUAUGAUCAGUAGC
rnacentral:lncRNA from 1 species